GGCGCUGUGGCUUAGUUGGUCAAAGUGCCUGUCUAGUGAACAGGAGAUCCUGGGUUCAAAUCCCAGCAGUGCCU
rnacentral:tRNA from 1 species